rnacentral:misc_RNA from 1 species
AUGCGAUAAGUAAUGUGAAUUGCAGAAUUCAGUGAAUCAUCGAAUCUUUGAACGCACAUUGCGCCCGCUAGUAUUCUGGCGGGCAUGCCUGUCCGAGCGUCAUUUCAACCCUCAAGCCCCCGGGCUUGGUGUUGGGGAUCGGCGAGCCUCCGCGCCCGCCGUCCCCUAAAUCUAGUGGCGGUCUCGCUGUAGCUUCCUCUGCGUAGUAGCACACCUCGCACUGGGAAACAGCGCGGCCACGCCGUUAAACCCCCAACUUCUGAACGUUUGACCUCGGAUCAGGUAGGAAUACCCGCUGAACUUAA